UCGCAAUUUUCGACGACAGGCCUUCCGGAGCGUGGCGCAUCUUCGACCACCUCUACACCAGAACGAAAACGUUGAAACCAUCGUUGUGCGGUGGAAAUGGAAACUGUAUCGGGUUCAUAAACUGCACAAAUUUUAUUGGCGGCUUGAGAUGCAUUUUUGCCUUUAAAGUAGUAGUACUGUAAAAUAUGCCGUAUUUUCUCUUUAUUUUGCUCCAUGUUUGCGACGCUAUAACUCACGAACGACUUAAAAGAAACGACAAUCAAUCAAACACGUGUUAGCGCGUGAAAUGAGCUUUCCAAAAAGGUAUAGCAUGACCCGAUGCGACGAAUAAAACUAGAACUACGCGCUUUCAGCGCCAACUAGCGAAAAUACCGCAAGACUUUUUUGACAAGCUAUUAUAU